CCACGGGUCAAAAGUUUGGACACCCCGGCCCCCCAGUACUGUGUGUAAUGGAGCCACGGGUCAAAAGUUUGGACACCCCGGCCCCCCAGUACUGUGUGUAAUGGAGCCACGGGUCAAAAGUUUGGACACCCCGGCCCCCCAGUACUGUGUGUAAUGGAGCCACGGGUCAAAAGUUUGGACACCCCGGCCCCCCAGUACUGUGUGUAAUGGAGCCACGGGUCAAAAGUUUGGACACCCCAGAGCCCCAGUACUGUGUGUAAUGGAGCCACGGGUCAAAAGUUUGGACACCCCAGCCCCCCAGUACUGUGUGUAAUGGAGCCACGGGUCAAAAGUUUGGACACCCCAGCCCCCCAGUACUGUGUGUAAUGGAGCCACGGGUCAAAAGUUUGGACACCCCAGAGCCCCAGUACUGUGUGUAAUGGAGCCACGGGUCAAAAGUUUGGACACCCCAGAGCCCCAGUACUGUGUGUAAUGGAGCCACGGGUCAAAAGUUUGGACACCCCAGAGCCCCAGUACUGUGUGU